AGAGUUUGAUCAUGGCUCAGGACGAACGCUGGCGGCGUGCUUAACACAUGCAAGUCGAGCGGAAAGGCCCUUCGGGGUACUCGAGCGGCGAACGGGUGAGUAACACGUGAGUAACCUGCCCCUAGCUCUGGGAUAGCUCCGGGAAACCGGGAUUAAUACCAGAUAUGACCACGAUAGACAUCUGCUGUGGUGGAAAGAAU
rnacentral:rRNA from 1 species